GAUUGUGAGUCACAUGACAAACCCAUGUAAGUGGAAGAUUUGUUUGGAUCAAAAUAGGGUUUGUCUUGUGGAAAACAUUUCUUACAAGGGGAACAUUGUACCCAAAUAAGAUUACUACCUGUGUCUGCAACAGCAAGCCUUUCAACAGGUGGGGUGCCAAUAUAGAUUUUCAUGAGGUAAUCACCACCAUUUGGAAUUAUAAUAGAUUCUGGCGAUUCGUUUAACUCAUUAUUUUGAAAAAGGGAAAGUCGUUUUGAACGUGAAAUAGAGCGCAAGGCCGCAUUUGUGAUUAACUCCGAUGAGGUAAGGGAAGAGUUGUAAAAGGGUGACAAUGGUGAAUCAUGAUGAAUAAGUUCAACUUCGAAGCCACUAGGGUUUUUGGUGGAUUCAACAAAGGAUGGAGUAUAAAGUGAACAUAAGGCAGAAAACAAGAAUAUAAAAGCAUGCAUAGUUGAUAAAAGUAUAAAUAUAGGGGAGAAGUUGAAUGAAUGGUUUGUGGUCAAGUGCUUCUAUUUAUAGAUUUCUUUUAGUACUAUAAUGAGACUUUUGAUAUGUGAGAUAUAUUCCUCUCAAAUAUGCAUGUGACUCACAAAAUCAUAAAUCAUUAUGUAAAAAACUAUUUUGACUUUUCAUAUAUGUGAGAUAUAUUCCUCUGAAAUAUGCAUGUGACUCACAAAAUUAUAAAUCAUCAUGCAAAAAAACUAUUUUAAAUAUAGAUUGUUUUAUAAUAUCAAUAAAACAUCCAUGUUUCUUUUCCUAUCAUGCAUUUUAGUAUUUAUUAACGUGAUCUUCUCUGUUUAGCAUUAUCUCCAUUUUUUUCACUUUAAGAGAGGAAGACACAAAACAAAUUUGGAAAAUAAUUAAUGGUGUUGGUUCAUUUUUUUUUUUUUGGAAGCAGUUGGUUCACUUAUGAUUUGCCAUUUACUUUUUGUGACUAUCUCUCGCUAAAUGAAAUAUUUUAUUUAAUUUGAGAAAUGAGGAGGAUCCUAACUCAAAAUAUAAUGCUUUGUCAAAAAAAAAAACCUCAAAAUAUAAUGCAUUAUACUCUUUUAAACUUUGAUAUCGAAAUAUUAACUAUGGUUAAAAUAAUAGUUAUGGAUUUAAAAAAAUUUGUACUCUCUCAAAAGAAUUGGUCUAGGAAAGAUUGUGAUGACUGAUUGGUUUCUUCCAAGAAAAUUGUGAUUGAAAGACACAUUUCCACAAAAUUCCAUAUUGACUCAUGAGAUGACUUAGAUAUGAAUGUGUCCCAUUUUUCCAUGGAUUACAACGUGAUUGGAGGUUGUAGUUGCCGUAUGAGAAAAACUGUAAACUUGUGUUACACGGACAAAGGGCACUGUUGCUCUCAAAGGAGAAUGGUUAGCAUGUAGUACACGUUGAGAUAGAUCCUAACGAAGGCAGGGAGUGGUUGCCGGUACACGAGAUAUGAUAAUGAGCAGCUUCUAAUAAUUUUUUGGCGAACUAAAUUUACAUCAGAAUGAGAGGGAUCCUGAUAUCGUGCAUAGGUAUGAGAUUGCAUAGUUGAAUGAUGACUUGUAAGAAUUGUUUGGUGCUAUCUAUAUCAACAUGAUGCCUCUUUUUUUUUUUUUUUUUUGUAGCCCAUUUUAUAAAAACUUCAUAGUUAAACGUGCUUGACUUGAAACAGUUUUAGGAUGAGUGACCUUAUAUAAAGUUUUCCGGAAAGCUUGCAAGUGAUGACAAAACAUGCUGAAAGGCUCGUGUUGGUUUGUAGGGUCAGUCGGCAAUCCCGAAAUAAAACACAUUGAAAGACUUGUGUUAGUUGGUAGGAUCAAUCGGCAAUCCUAAAAAUCAUAUGAGAUGUUAAAGUGAAGGAUCUAAUUCAUGUAGACAUUAAGUUGUCCAAAUUUAUUUUUCUCAUCAUGGGCUAAAAUACUUUUUUUUUUUCGGAUACUGAGUUUCAAAGUGUUUCUUAUUUUUUUUCUUUCAUUAUUCGGCUAGUGGUCGAUACAUACUCAAAUCCAUACACACGGAUGAUGUGUGGAGACCCAAAAAUUAAGCUAAGAUCUCACAUAAAAUAUAUUUAUAAUUUAAAAAAACAAUGGAAAUAAUCCUUAAAAUAACAAUGUAAAUGCCUUGUCAAAAAAAAAUAAAUCAAUGUAAAUGAAUUUUAAAGACUAAAAUGAGUCCACUUAUCCAAAACAAAAGUGUCCCCACUCGUUAAAUUAAAUAAAAUAGUAUUAAGUGUAGCAUUCCAAAUUUAAAUCUAAAUCAUAGUAGAAUAAGGAGAAGUUCCAACCAUUAAAUUAAGUUUAAAUAUGUCUUUAGUCCUUACACUUUUAUCAGAUUUUGACAUUGGUCUCUACAUUUUUUUUUUUUUGGAAUUGAUCCCUGCACUUUGUAAAAAUAUUGGUAUUGGUCCCUCUAUUAACUUUCUGUUAAAAAAAAACACAAAACUAUUGGUAUUUGUCCCUGCACUUUGUAAAAAUAUUGGUAUUGGUCCCUACACUUUGUAAAAAUAUUGAUAUUGGUGCCACGUGGCGUGAAAUGAUUGGGUCACGUGGCACUCCGUUGGUUUUGUGUUUUUUUUUUAACAGAAAUUUAACAGAUGGACUAAUACCAAUAUUUUUACAAAGUGCAGGGACCAAUGUCAAACAAAAAAAAGUGCAGGGACCAAUGCCAAAAUCUAAUGAAAGUGCAGGGACCAAUAACACAUUUAAACCUUAAAUUAAAUAUGUUUUUGGUCCCUAUAAAAUUGAGAAUUUCUAAGUUUAAUCCUUACUUAAUUUUAAUAGUUUUUUUAGUCCCUACAAAAAUAAAUUACUUUUAAUUUUAGUCCCUACUAAAAUAAAGUUUGUUUAAUUAUCCUUAAACUCUUAAAUUUUUGAAAGAUUUUUUUGAGACAAGUUUAGAACACCAUGAUAGAUUCAUUUACUAAAAUUUAGAAUUUUUAACAUGAAACGAAUUAAAUAUGAUUUUUUUAAAACAACAAAAGUUAAAGAUAAAAGUAAUAAAAUCUGGACUUAAAAAUCAAAUUUUGCAAUAAUUUUUUACGGAGGAACUUUUAGUAAUGUUCUUAACACGUCUACAAAAAAUUGUUCAAAAACUUAAGAGUUUAACUAUAAAUUAAACAAAUUUGAAUUCAGCAGGGACUAAUACUGAGUGCAUAACUUUUUUUGUAGGGAUUAAAAGAACUAUUAAAAUUAAGUAAAGACUAAACUUAAAAGCUCUCAAUUUUAUAAGGACUAAAAACAUAUUUAACCCUACUUUUUUCAAUGAUGUUAUUUAUGAACAAGUGUAUUUGAAACAACCUAAUGAGUUUGAAGAUUUAAAAUAUCCAGAAUAUGUUUCUAAACUUAAAAAAGUCAUUGUAUAGUAAGAAACAAGCCUCCCUGACAAACUCAAUAAUUUUAUUUGAAAAAUGGUUUUUCACGACAUCAAGUUGACACUCCAUUAUUUAUGAAGUCAUUAAAAAAAGAGAAAUGAUAUUUGGACAAUUAUUUUUUGACAACUUUGUGACAAUUUUCUCUCUCAUACUUACAUUAUACUCUUAUUCUCUCUCUUCAUUUUUAUCUCUCCAUUGUUUUUAACCAAUGAAAAGAGAGAAAAAAAAGUUGUCAUAAAAGUUGUAUCAAAUAGUUGUUCAAAUAUCACUACUCUUAAAAAAAUGAAAGUUUUAAUGUUCAGAUAUAUGUUGAUGAUAUCACAUUUGCAUAUACGAGAUUGCAUGAUUGAAGAAUGACUUAUAUAAAAAAUAGAGAAAAAUCUUCUUUAAAAAGAAAAAUAAAAAAAUAGUACAAGUCGUACUUUGUUGAGAUAUUUAUGAUAAAUAAAAAAAAUAAAAAUAUUAAGAAUAAACAUGAAAGCGACACGUGGCUAUAAAAAUCUUAUUUUAUACACACAUACUAUUGAUUGAUAAUAUUUUAUCAUAAUUUUGUUCUCCUAUCCAGCUGGAUUCUAACUUAGCUCAUAUUUGGAAUAAGAAUAUCAUGCCUAAAAAUCACUAAACUAUUAUAUAAGAUGAGUUCAUGAUGAGGUGAGAUAAGAUAAGUUUCAUGAUGAAUUUAUCAUAUCAUUGUCAUCAAACUAUGGAUUGAGAUAAAAUAUGAUAUAAGAUGAGUUCUAGUCACAACGGGAAACCUAGCCAAUUUUGUCCUGGGUGGCUAAACAUAAGAAUAUUUUUUUGAAGUUUUUUUUUUGACAAUUAUUUUAAGGAAAUAUAUUAAAUAUAAUCAUAAGAAAAAAUAUCCCAAUCAUUUUACUUAUAUAAAAUGUAAAUUAAAGUAACACAAAAUACUAACAAUAGCUAUUUAUAAAUAAAAAAGUGAGUUGGACAACACUUCAUAAAGUUAGACUCAUUUGUCCUUGUGAGCAUAGCUCAAUUGGUAUGGACAAUGCAUAAAAUAAACAAGGUUAGGGGUUCGAAUCUCGGCCACCAUAAAAAAAAAAAAAAAAAAACUCAUCUAUAAUUAAGGUUGUCUAUAUUUACAAUGUAAAAUACUAAGUAAUUUAUUUUUCCAGUUUUAUCUAUACAAUUUUCAUUGUUAAUAAUAUUCUCUUUUUAAUUGCUUAUGAUAUCGAGAAUGUCAACAUAAGACAAAAUAAAUCUUUAAACAAGUGGUAAUCUUUUGAGUAGUUUAUUUCUCAUAACCUUGCAUAAAUAAACUUAUUUUGGAGUAGUUAAAUAUAUUUUAUUGGGUAAAUAAACAUAAAAUACACUUACUAAUACAAAUAAAAAAUAAUAAUUUUUAGGAUAGCCAAAGCUACUCCUCUCUACAAUAUAGCUUCGCCCUUGGCUAUAUAUAUCCUAUUUCUAACAUUCUAUCUAACAGUCACUGCCACAUUGGGUGAAAUUAAUAUGGAUACCACACUUGGAUGAUGGGUCUCAUAUAAAGUGGUGAAAUUCAUAUGAACUUCACCUAACAUGAUAGCGAAUAUUAGAGAAAUUGUUAGAAAUAAAGUAUUUAUAGCAUUUCUAUACGAUACAAUUAUCCUAUUCUGUUUCCCAUCCUGAGCAACAAACGAGUCCAAAGAGUUUAGUAUGGGGAACCUCCUUCUUUGUUUCUCUUUUCUAAAAAUUGAAUUAAAAAAUUGAAUUAAAUCUCAAUUCUUGAUACUUUAGUUAUCACUUAACAAAUGAACUUGCAAACAAAUGGAGAAGUUCUAUAGGAUUGUAGGAGACAGGAACAUAUGUCUAGAUGAUGAACGAAGACCGUGAGAUCAGAGCGUGAUUAACGGCUGAGAUGAUUCUCAUGUUAAGACAUCAUCUUGUGCUGUAGAUAAUCGUUCUCAGACAAACGCUAUCUGGGGUGGCCGCACGGUGCUCUUACAUACCCAACACUUUUUUGAGGAACCGACGUAGAGAGAGAAGCUCUCUUCUCUCUCUUCACCCUCACCUGAACUUCCGGUCAACCACCACCUUAUCUCCUCCUCUCUUUGCUCCUUCAACAUCCAAACUAUUAUGCCUAGAUGUAGCUGUUCGCGUCGGUGGUGUGAUCGGCCGAGUUGCGUCUAAUUUUGGGGUUGUUUAAGUAACCGUCGAUGACCCCUUUGCCGUCGGUAUGCUUCGUUUCUCAUAGAAAUAUGAGGCUUCUUUUUUGGCCUAUCAGUUGGUAGUUCUUCAAAUGGCGGUGGUUGGCUGUUCACCACCAUCGUCGUUGUUCUUGGCUGAUUUUAAACGGCGGUAGUUGUAGGCUACCGUCGAGUUACAGGAAAAUUACAGAUAUGUUGGUUGUUUCACCGGUACAGUGGAUUUGUGAUGUGUGAUUCAAAAUCCAGAUCUAGAUCGGGUCUGUUUAGGUUGUUCUCAUUGGGUGUUAAAACCCGGGUCUAUUCGUUUACUAUCGUCUUCCCUGACAGACUGAAUAGUGACAUCAGAUUGAUUGGAUAUUUUGGCUCGAAAGGGCGUUGAAGCUUGUUGCAGUUGAGGUUUUGAUGCAGGAAGCUAUGGUUGAUUGUGGACCUGAUUCGUGUUGGCAGUCGGUUUUUUUCACCGUUUUGAAAAUCAUAGUAUGGGGCUAUUCAAUCCACACGUGACAUUUCUUUUGCAAUUCGGUUUCGGUUCCGUAAGCGGUUCUGCUGGAUUGUGCAAGCAUUGUGCAGUUGUUUGCUUUUGACUUAGAUUUGUGCUAUUUACCUUUUAGUUGUUACCCUUUAGGGUUUGUUUUUAUCACCGGGGUCAGGUUUUAUGCCCCUAGUUCUUCUUUGUACUCUUUAUUUUAUUUUAAUCUUCUUUGGACGUCACAGAUGUAUCUGCACCCCAUUUGCCUAAAAAAAUGGCGAAGUGCAUUACCUCUAUAGGGUGAGGAUGCAUACUCAAAAAAUAGAGUAUGUUUGUUUAGAUGAGUUUCGGUAAUUGAACUGGUUUGAAUUAAGAGAUAAGAAGUUGAAGGUUCUCGGUUUAAACAUGGACAGAGGAGAAAAACUAAUCUAAUAACUACACUUACUAACAUUUGCCAUUAAAAAAAAGUGUAUAUAUGUUUAAAAUAUAGAACUAUAAGAUAAUAAGUAUUUGUUGUUUAAAUAUUUAAUUUUAUAAAUUUACAUAAAUAAUUAUAUAAAUAAACACCUAAAAUAGAGUAAUUAAUCUUUAAAAAAAGGUUAUACUAACAAGUGCCCUAAAACAAGUUAAGAAGAUAAAAAUAGAAAUAAUUGUUGAAUUUAAUGAUGCUAAAGUCAAUUUAAAAAGUUUCAAUGUAAUAAAUUGCACUAUUCUCAAGAUAAAGUUUUUACAUUAUACUUUGGGUUUUGUUAACGAGUGUCCUAAUGACACUCUUUAAGGUUUUCCAAUUAAGAAAUUAUUCCUUAAAUUUUCGAUGCAUUGAAUGCACAAUUUUUCAAAAGUGUCCUUAGGGCACUCGUUAACAUUUCCUUUAGUCUUUUUAUAAGUGUCUUUAGAAUACUUGUCAGUAUUUCCCUUAAAAAACACCUAAAAUAGAAUAGUCAGAUCAAUAAAAAUCAUAUAAAACUAAUACAAUCCUAUAUUGAUAUUAAUUGAUCCAAAAUAUUGUAUGUAUAAUGUCCACGUGCUAUAUCAAGUUAUCUUCAAAAACCUUUUGGUUCAAUUAUUCAAUACUGUUACAACUUACAAUAACGAUGCCAAAGAAAAAAGUACAUAGAAGACGGUUGUGAUGGUCUCUAUUUUUUGGACUCAUGCUCAUUACAAUCACCAUCGAUAAACCACAUUUAAUAGCUUUAUUUCAAAAAAUAGUAAUUGGAAACUUAGGUCUUGGAACAAUCAGUUGGAGAAAAGGAAACUGUUUUUCCUUUGAGAUCGUACCCAACUAAAAAAUUAAAUUGUGCUCUAUUUCCAAAGAUGGAAAUACCUUUAUUUGGUACGACAAACAAGCAAUACGAGUGGUUGCCAAGCUCAACAACUAAGUUCUGAGGUUUAAGGGUAACAUCAGCUCUCGUAAAAUGAAACACAAAAUUAGGGAACUUUGUUAUAUCUCCAAAGGUGAAGCAAAAGGUAUAUGGGGAUGGAGGAUCUUUCACUUCCUCAACACCAAUAACUCCCUUUAAGGAAGCUACCAAAUCAUUGUAAAAGUUUUGUUCAAGAUACGUCAAUGUUGUCCCUGAAUCAAUGAUUAUGUUACCAUCGGUUCGACCUGUCUCAACAGUUUUUUGUCCGAUGGUGAUGCCUUCGAGAUUGAGGAAGUAAUAAGAAGGAUUUGAAGAUUUGAUUAUGAGGGGAGUAGACACAACGCCAUUAUCUUUUAUAAUUGCUUCAUCUCCAAAUUUCAUUUUGCUAAUUGAGUUUAAACUUGGAGGAACCAAACAAUAGGAGAAUUUGUGACCAAUUGAGUCACCUAGUUGUGAAACUAGUGAUAGUGGUCCUGCUCCAAGACCAACAAGACCCGUAGCUUUUCGGCUUCUUUUAAAUGUGACAUCAUUUUGAUGUCCACAUCCAAAAAUUGAUUUAGGAAAUGUAACAUCUUUUUCUCCAAAGUUGAUGGAAUCAGUACCCAAAUCUCCAAUGGUGUAAGAUUUAUCACCAUAAGUGUAAAAAUACUCACACUUAUUUGAUUCUCCACAUCUAUGUGGGAGUAAUGAGCAAGAUUGUGAGUCACAUGACAAACCCAUGAAAGUGGAAGAUUUAUUUGGAUCAUAAUAAGGAGUGUCUUGUGGAAAACAAUUUUGACAAGGGGAACAUUGUACCCAAAUAAGGUCACUCCCUGUGUCUGCAACAGCAAGCCUUUCAACAGGUGGGGUUCCUAUAUAGAUUUUCAUGAGGUAAUCACCACCAUUUGGAAUUAUAAUAGAUUCUGGCGAUUCGUUUAACUCGUUAUUUUGAAAAAGGGAAAGUCGUUUGGAACGUGAAAUAGAGCGCAAGGCCGCAUUUGUGAUUAGCUCGGAUGAGGUUAGGGAAGAGUUGUAAAAGGGUGACAAUGGUGAAUCAUGAUGAAUAAGUUCAACUUCAAAGCCACUAGGGUUUUUAGUGGAUUCAACAAAGGAUGGUGAAUAAAGUGAACAUAGGGCGGAAAACAAGAAUAUAAAAGAAUGCAUAUU
rnacentral:lncRNA from 1 species